rnacentral:rRNA from 1 species
UACGUAGGUGACAAGCGUUUGUCCGGAUUUACUGGGCGUAAAGAGCGCGGCAGGCGGUCGUUCAAGUCGAGUGUGAAAGCCCCCGGCUCAACUGGGGAGGGUCAUUCGAUACUGGGUAGUCUCGAGUCCGGAAGAGGUGAGUGGAAUUCCGAGUGUAGAGGUGAAAUUCGUAGAUAUUCGGAAGAACACCAGUGGCGAAGGCGGCUCA